rnacentral:rRNA from 1 species
UACGAGGGGGGCAAGCGUUGUUCGGAAUUACUGGGCGUAAAGCGUGCGCAGGCGGUUUGUUAAGUCUGUUGUGAAAUCCCCGAGCUCAACUUGGGAAUUGCAAUGGAUACUGGCAGGCUGGAGUAUGGUAGAGGAAGGUGGAAUUCCCGGUGUAGCAGUGAAAUGCGUAGAGAUCGGGAGGAACACCAGUGGCGAAGGCGGCCUUCUGGACCAAUACUGACGCUCAUGCACGAAAGCGUGGGGAGCAAACAGG